rnacentral:sRNA from 1 species
CACUGGUCGAGAGUUGUUGUCACUAUCCUGAAGAGUCUAAGGUAGGACGAAAUCAGUG